rnacentral:rRNA from 1 species
AGUGAACGCUGGCGGUAGGCCUAACACAUGCAAGUCGAACGGCAGCACAGUAAGAGCUUGCUCUUACGGGUGGCGAGUGGCGGACGGGUGAGGAAUACAUCGGAAUCUACUUUUUCGUGGGGGAUAACGUAGGGAAACUUACGCUAAUACCGCAUACGACCUACGGGUGAAAGCAGGGGAUCUUCGGACCUUGCGCGAUUGAAUGAGCCGAUGUCGGAUUGGCUAGUUGGCGGGGUAAAGGCCCACCAAGGCGACGAUCCGUAGCUGGUCUGAGAGGAUGAUCAGCCACACGGGAACUGAGACACGGUCCAGACUCCUACGGGAGGCAGCAGUGGGGAAUAUGGGACAAUGGGCGCAAGCCUGAUCCAGCCAGACCGCGUGGGUGAAGAAGGCCUUCGGGUUGUAAAGCCCUUUUGUUGGGAAAGAAAAGCAGCAGGUUAAUACCCCGCUGUUCUGACGGUACCCAAAGAAUAAGCACCGGCUAACUUCGUG